CUGUAGACAAGCCUAAUUCUUCCCUAGGUGUGAGGUGCAUACAUCUCACGUGUGUGAGAGUGAGUAAACGUGUGGGCGUACGUAUACACGCGCAUGCUAUUUCCCAGAAAUCUGUCUGCUCUCGCAGGUGCUGUGUGAAAUAUGUAGUGUGUGCAAGUCUGUGUGUGUGUGUGAGAUUAUACAGACUCUGAGAUGACAGAUAACGUGAUGACGUCAUCAUCUUGUUCAGUUCUUAUUUUCCCUCUGUGUAUCUGUAGGUCAUGUUUUCAGAGUAGGCGAGAGGGGAAGAGGGAGAGGGAGAGGGACAGGGUAGGCGGUUGUGGCUCAGGUGGUAGAGCGGGUUGUCCACUAAUCGUAGCGUUGGUGGUUUGAUUCUCGCCCCACAUGACUCCACAUGCUGAAGUGUCCUUGGGCAAGACACUGAACCCCAAGUUGCUCCCGAUGGCAAGCUAGCGCCUUGCAUGGCAGCUCUGCUACCACUGGUGUGUGGGUGAAUGGGUGAAUGAGACACAGUGUAAAGCACUUUUGGUAAAAGCGCUAUAUAAGUUCACCAUUUACGUGUGAAGCCCACCCAUUCAUUUCCCACCUCGACUGUUAGAGGUAGAGUCCGAGUAGUAGAGACUGUUAGAGGUAGAGUCCGAGAAGUAGAGACUGUUAGAGGUAGAGUCCGAGUAGUAGAGAAUGUUAGAGGUAGAGUGUGAGUAGUAGAGACUGUUAGAGGUAGAGUGUGAGUAGUAGAGACUGUUAGAGGUAGAGUGUGAGUAGUAGAGACUGUUAGAGGGAGAGUGUGAGUAGUAGAGACUGUUAGAGGUAGAGUGUGAGUAGUAGAGACUGUUAGAGGUAGAGUCCGUGUAGUAGAGACUGUUAGAGAUAGCGUCUGAGUAGUAGAGACUGUUAGAGGUACAGUCCGAGUAGAGUAGCGACUGUUAAAGCUAUAUGACUAUACAUUUAAUCCAUUUAUAUGCAUAUAUUGGAAAUGUUAACAUGAAAUGAACACUUAGACUGAAAAUACACAACAUUUUAUUUUUUUUGCAUGUUUAAAUAAAAUUGGACUGGGUGUAAAAAGAAAAAGAGUGCAGCCAGCCACUAGAGGGCAUCAUACAUAACCUUUCACUUUACAAACACCCAUGUAAAUAUUUAGCCUUAACCCAAGUAUCAGACAUGAUUUUCACAUUCAACCCACUUGUUGAGUAAGUUUUAUUCAUGACAGUGUUUACAUUUCUGCACUACCUUUUUUUUUUUUUGCUGCAAUUAUAUGUAUAUAUAAAUACGUAAAUAUUUGACCUUGGCCCAUUUGACAUUUGUUGAUAAAUGCAGAGCACCAGCCAAUAAUUAAAUUAUUAUUUAGCAUAGAUAAUAAUACAUUUUAAUAUAAAGCAGCAGUC
ensembl:lncRNA